rnacentral:rRNA from 1 species
UAACACGUGGGUAACCUGCCCCGAUGACCGGGACAACCCGAGGAAACUCGAGCUAAUACCGGAUGUGAUGUCCACAUAUAAGUGUGUCCAUUAAAGGAAGCUUCGGCCUCCACAUCGGGAUGGGCCCGCGGCCCAUUAGCUAGUUGGUGGGGUAAAGGCCUACCAAGGCAACGAUGGGUAGCUGGUCUGAGAGGACGAUCAGCCACACUGGGACUGAGACACGGCCCAGACUCCUACGGGAGGCAGCAGUGGGGAAUCUUGCGCAAUGCGCGAAAGCGUGACGCAGCAACGCCGCGUGAGGGAAGACGGCCUUCGGGUUGUAAACCUCUUUCAGGAGGGACGAAGGUCCGCCCGCGAAUAGCGAGGCGGAUUGACGGUACCUCCAGAAGAAGCCCCGGCUAACUACGUGCCAGCAGCCGCGGUAAUACGUAGGGGGCAAGCGUUGUCCGGAAUCAUUGGGCGUAAAGCGCGCGUAGGCGGCCCGGUAAGUCCGCUGUAAAAGUCAAAGGCUCAACCUUUGAAUGCCGGUGGAUACUGUCGGGCUAGAGUCCGGAAGAGGCGAGUGGAAUUCCUGGUGUAGCGGUGGAAUGCGCA